GCCCAUGUGGCAUAGUGGUUUGAGCAUUGGACUAUGGCUCUGGAGACUAGGGUUCAGCUCCCUGCUCAGCCA